UAAAACUGAAGGCAAUCCAAGUCUAAAGAGUUGAGGUGUCUCAGGUUCUGGGGCAAGCUGUCCAUAGUUAUGGCACUAUUACUCGGUUUCAUAUUGGGGUCGAUGUUUACAGGGGUAUUCAGUGAUUUGGAUCCUCAAGUUUGUGGUACAAACAGUGUUGGUUUUGAUUACGCAACCCUCCGUAAAGCAAACAACAAACAAAUUGUUGGAGGGAACAUAGUGACACCUCAUUCGUUUCCAUGGAUGGUUGCUUUGAAGUAUCGAGGUGUCUUCCAGUGUGGAGGGUCUCUUCUGAAGGGUUCCUCUAACAAGUGGUAUAUACUCACGGGCGCACACUGUCUGCA